GAUCUAUAACUGGCACUGGGUUCACUUCAUAAAUUGGAUAAACGAAGUAGGUCAGAUAUGCAAAGAAGAAAAUGCAGUCUUAAACAAGUUGAGAGUAUUAAUCUCAGUGCUAGGGCAGUGGUAAUCUUUGUUCGAGUGAAAUGAUCAGGAACAAGAUAUUAAUCGUGAUAGUCCAUGUAGUAUUAUUUGUUCUUCAAGUUAAAAUAGUCAUGGAAGAGUCAUUAUAGUAAAGUACUCAUAAUAAGAGCAUUCAAGAAGAAGCAACCCUAAAGCAGUCUUAAUGGAGCCUCAAUUAUCAAAGACUGUGAUUGAAUGAUCACAGUCAUAAAAUGUCAAAGACUUAGAGAAGCUUUUGGCUCUGAGAUAGAGCUACCAUAAACCUAACAAAAGACAAAACAAAGACCUCAGGAAUUGGAGGAACAUAGCUUACAUCAAUAGCAAUGUAUAGUGUAAAUGUAGUCAAUGCACAAGAACAAUAGUGCAAGGAGAGUCAUGCAUGCAAAGAGCAGAGUAGUAAAACAGUGAGCAAAGCUUGUCACAAUAAUCCAGAGCAGUCUCAUGCAUAAAUAUUAGAGAAUACAUAGUCAAUGACAAAUCUGAGAUAAAAGAAAGGGGAUUGUGUUUGAAGGAAGAUAGUACAACAUUCAAUAGUCUUGGGUUUUGGUUUCUAGUUUGGAAGAUCAUCAGCCUCUCCCUUUUAUCUGCCAUGGGCUGCAAGGAUAAAAAUUGCUAAGGGAGUGGCUAGAUGCCUGGCUUACUUGCAUGAAAAGAAGCAUGUUCAUGCAAAUCUCAAGCCCAAAAACAUCCUUCUGGGGUUUGACAUGGAGCCAUUCAUUGCAGAUUUCGGGUUGUACAGGGUAUUAGACAUGGCCAAUGUCAAAUAUAGUAGCUCAGCUAUUUAUCUAAGAAACUUUGAAGGUGCACUUUCAGGAAGCAAGCAGUCAACAGGCUCAAGAGAUAGCUUGCAGACAACACCUGAAAUGCUGGGCAGUCCAAGCACAUCAAGAAAUUUUGUAUCUCCAUACCAAGCUCCCGAGGCAUUGAAAACUCUUAAACCCAAUCAGAAGUAGGAUGUUUAUUCUUUUGGGGUUAUUUUUCUGGAAAUGCUCAUAGGGAAACCACCUUCUGAGAAAUAUUUUGCAACAUGGGGUCAAAGUUUUCUCUAUGAGAAGCAGCAUAUUUUGCGUAUCCAGAACAUGAACUAACAUUUCAAUAUUUUUGCUCUGGAGGCAAGUUCUCAGUUUUCUGGGGAAAAUAAUAGAUGGGGGUAAAUUGCUAUUGCAGGCAGCGGACUAAUCACAGAGUGACUGAAGUUGAUCCAGCUUGAUCUCUUGAGUACAACUGAUGGACAUUAUUGCCCGUGAUUAGUCACAUGGAAAUAAGUGACAUGAAAAUAAGUGACAUUAUAAUUGUAUAAUUAUCUAGCAAAAUGUCUAAUUAUUUGAUUUGAAAGCAUUUGAAUGUUGUUUUUAUCUUGACAUACAGUAAGUUAUUUCUUACUGCUUGGACAUUAGAACAGAGUGGAUUACAAUAUGUAGAAAAUGUGUGAAGUCAAUAUUGCAAAGCCUUAUUUAGUUAUUAGAAGCUUUUUGUCACUGACAGCCUGUCCUUGGCAAAACUAUUCAAGGAUUGUUAAGAAAUAUACACUCAUUGUGCUUUAA